GAAGGAGAAAGUUUGGCCAGCGUUCGGGGUGCAGUACGGCUCCUUCUCUCCGGUGUUAUCCUUCCCAUGGAUGCCGUGUCAGCUGAGGGGGCCGGAGGACGGGGAACGGGAGAUGGGGAACAAGAGAGGAGGGGGCGAGAGUUUGCACCGUCUCCAGGAGUUGGCCAGGGAGCAGCAUUCGCUGGAUUCGUCGACAGAGGGGGGUUUGGGGCAGAGAGAUUAGAGAGGCUUGUUGGGCCUGCGGCCACAGGGUACACCUCAGAAUUGGAAGAUUUGUAUGGAAAGAUGCUACUUCAACUCGAAAGUUUGGCCAGCCUUGCGGAGGAGAGUUCAGCCAGAAUUCUUGAGCAGUACAUAUAGCUUGGCAACAAUUCUGUGGACAUGCUAUCCCUGGCUAUCUACAAGAGUCUGCUUUAGCUAAUAAAUCCAUGAACCAAUUGCCAGUGGCCAUUCCUCAAACUAGUUAUUUGGACUUCAAAUUUCUGCCUUCUUCCUAAUGGAUACAAUCUGUAGCAUGCAUUGUUCAUUUUCCAUGUAUAAAUGUACUUGGGAGUUUGCCUGAAAUCAUUUAUUGCUACAGAAAGUACUUAAUUGUUAUCAGCAUCCUCAGUUUAAAAUUCAUCUACAUCAUCCUUCUUUA